ACAAGCGGUGGAUGAUGUGGUUAAUUCGAUGCAACGCGAAAACCUUACCACCUUUGACAUGGCAGGAAUCCCGAAGAGAUUUGGGAGUGCUCGAAAGAGAACCUGCACACAGGUGCUGCAUGGCUGUCGUCAGCUCGUGUCGUGAGAUGUUGGGUUAAGUCCCGCAACGAGCGCAACCCUUGCCAUUAGUUGCUACGAAAGGGCACUCUAAUGGGACUGCCGGUGACAAACCGGAGGAAGGUGGGGAUGACGUCAAGUCCUCAUGGCCCUUAUAGGUGGGGCUACACACGUCAUACAAUGGCCGGUACAGAGGGUAGCCAACCCGCGAGGGGGAGCCAAUCCCACAAAGCCGGUCGUAGUCCGGAUCGCAGUCUGCAACUCGACUGCGUGAAGUCGGAAUCGCUAGUAAUCGCGGAUCAGCAUGUCGCGGUGAAUACGUUCCCGGGUCUU
rnacentral:rRNA from 1 species